rnacentral:rRNA from 1 species
UACAGAGGGUGCCAGCGUUAAUCGGAAUUACUGGGCGUAAAGCGUGCGUAGACGGUUACAUAAGUCGGGUGUGAAAGCCCCGGGCUCAACCUGGGAAUUGCAUUCGAGACUGCGUAGCUAGGGUGCGGAAGAGGGAAGCGGAAUUUCCGGUGUAGCGGUGAAAUGCGUAGAUAUCGGAAGGAACACCAGUGGCGAAAGCGGCUUCCUGGUCCAGCACCGACGUUCAGGCACGAAAGCGUGGGGAGCAAACAGG